UCCCUCUGCCCCGUCGCCACGCCCCCAUCCUCCUCUCCCCGGUUUCACCGGCGCCGGCGUGCUACCGUCUUCCUCCUCUCCCUCUCCGGCGCGCUCUACCCACCACCGUCGCGCCACAGACCACAUGCUCCUCAUGAUGCGCCACAGGCGGGCGGCCACGUCUCGCCCGACCGUCCGCCCACACGCCUCCUCCUUUGGGGUCCGGCGAGCGGCAUCGGCGGCCAUGACGAAUUGGCACGUGUGCGGCCACUCUGCUUCGGUUCAGGGGCUACAGGCUAUGCCGGAUUGGCCACCGGCUCAAAGGGGACGCGCGGACGUCCUGGUCCUGCUCCUCCCGACCAUGUUGAUGUGGCGCGGGGCGGCGGCCUCAGAGCCUGGGGUGUACGCCUGUCGACGGGGCUCGGGGUGGCUGUGGCUGAAUAUCACAUCUCCUCCUCUUGUCCUCGGGGUGAUUAGCAUCGGCGAAAGUACUCCGCCCACAUCCUGUUUGAUGUUAUGCUAUGACAGACUGGGAAUUUUCAGAUCCAACUCUUACCACUAUUUAGAUAAUCAGAAUGAAAAACAAGUGUAUCUGAUGUCGGAUCUGCACCUAAAACAAGUGUACAUGAUGUUCCAAGCUGUCCGUGUUGAUGGCCGAAGAGUAGGCGAGGGUCCACUGUUCAUUUGAUUUCGUGGGGAUUAUCCAGAACAAUGCGAUCUGAAUUGAAGCCAAUCCGAUCCAGGUGAAACAGAAGUUGAUAGAUUAUUCCGGAGACGAGGUGAUAUAUAUAUAUAUAUCAAGCGGAAGUCUGUUUGUGUGACUCUGCUUGUAUGUUGUCAAGUUGCAAAUAGACUGGUUUUAUCAGUUGUUGCUUGAUGAGAGACCAACCAGUUUAUGCCUGACAUUUGCGACUCUACAUUUAAUGCAGUACAAUCGAGAGCUCAUGGCAUCAGGUUCAAACCGAUGCUGUGGCCAACACAGAUAGUAGCAGUCAAGACAAUGACUUUUUGGACGAAGAAGAGUGACUUCAUGCAAGGAAAUGAGUUCCAAUAUUGGUGUGACGAGUCCCUUGACUGAAGAAGGAGGAGGAUGACGUCAAGGGAGGCAUGAGCCGGCGGUGGCAGCAUGAGCCAUCACGAUGCAUCGCUGGGAGGCUCCGGGCGGGGGGCAUGAGAGGUGUGACACAAGUGAGGAGGCGAACUAGAGAAGAUGGGUAGAUUGAGAUGGAUCAUACAAGGAUGAAGGGAUGUUAUAGAGCCGUUAGCCGACGGUGCAAAUUUCCUGUGUGUGUCGAUCUCGGUUGCCAUGUAGUAAAUGAAGAGUGCGUGUAUGCCUGUGGCACCCUCCAUUUUCAUAUUUGGAGUCCACACAGGCUGGGUGGCCGAGGGGAAGAGUGAGCGAUUUUUUUGUUCCGUUUUUUUUGCCUGAGUAGGUGUCUGUGAGGACUCCUUCCCCCUUGGUGAUUUUGGUGAUGGUGGUGAGAUGGUGGAUUCUUUUUUUGCGGGAUCGUGUAAUAUACAUAGAAAUUUUUCUGAACUUCUAUUUUACAUGUGAUGAUUCAU